AACCUUUGGAAACAAUGGUUAAUCCCGGAUAAGCCUCGGGUAAAAGAUUAAUUGCCUAAUGAAGGGCUCCGGUCUGAUUAGCUAGUUGUGAGGUAAAGGCUCCCCAAGGCAUCGAUCAGUAGCUGUCUGAGAGGAUGACCAGCCACACUGGGACUGAGACCCGGCCCAGACUCCUACGGGAGGCAGCAGUGGGGAAUUUUCCGCAAUGGGCGAAAGCCUGACGGAGCAAGACCGCGUGAGGGAGGAAGGCUCUUGGGUUGUAAACCUCUUUUCUUGGGGAAGAACAAAAUGACGGUACCCAAGGAAUCAGCAUCGGCUAACUCCGUGCCAGCAGCCGCGGUAAUACGGAGGAUGCAAGCGUUAUCCGGAAUUAUUGGGCGUAAAGCGUCCGCAGGUGGCAUUUCAAGUCUGUUGUCAAAGACCGGGGCUUAACCCUGGAAAGGCAAUGGAAACUGAAGCGCUAGAGUAUCGUAGGGGUAGAGGGAAUUCCUGGUGUAGCGGUGAAAUGCGUAGAGAUCAGGAAGAACAUCGGUGGCGAAAGCGCUCUACUGGACGAUAACUGACACUCAGGGACGAAAGCUAGGGGAGCGAAUGGGAUUAGAUACCCCAGUAGUCCUAGCCGUAAACGAUGGAUACUAGGUGUGGCUUGUAUCGACCCGAGCCGUGCCGUAGCUAACGCGUUAAGUAUCCCGCCUGGGGAGUACGCGCGCAAGCGUGAAACUCAAAGGAAUUGACGGGGGCCCGCACAAGCGGUGGAGUAUGUGGUUUAAUUCGAUGCAACGCGAAGAACCUUACCAGGGCUUGACAUGUCUGGAAUCUGCUUGAAAGAGGAGAGUGCCUUCGGGAACCAGAACACAGGUGGUGCAUGGCUGUCGUCAGCUCGUGUCGUGAGAUGUUGGGUUAAUUUCCGCAACGAGCGCAACCCUCGUCUUUAGUUGCCAGCAUUAAGUUGGGCACUCUAGAGAGACUGCCGGUGACAAACCGGAGGAAGGUGGGGAUGACGUCAAGUCAGCAUGCCCCUCACGUCCUGGGCUACACACGUACUACAAUGCGACGGACAAAGGGCAGCCAACCAGCGAUGGUGCGCUAAUCCCAUAAACCGUGGCUCAGUUCAGAUCGCAGGCUGCAACUCGCCUGCGUGAAGGAGGAAUCGCUAGUAAUUGCAGGUCAGCAUACUGCAGUGAA
rnacentral:misc_RNA from 1 species